CCGCUACAAAAAAAAAAGGAAAGCACCUGCACGUCUUGGGGCGCGCUAGCGCGCGUACUCUUCUUCUGCGAGACUCCAUCCAAAUCCGCCACUCACUAGUUGGUUGGUGUUCCAUUCUGUUAUGUUAGACUAUGCCUUCUUCAAUUCCAUUCUUCUAUGCUAAUAAAGAACUCUGUUCCGUUAGCAGAGAGCGAAGUAAAAUCGUCCUCCCCAGCCCUCUUCGACCACUCCCUUCUUCGAACCGAAUCUCAUCGACCAUCGGAGCUAACUUCUCCUUCCUCUCCGUCCCCAGUUUACCUUGGUUAUCGACAUCCUUCUCUGCAUCCCUUCGCCUUCGCGCCCUUUAGCAAGUCCUAAGACAUUAUUCUCCCAGCAAAAAAACACCUAACCAGCCAUCAGGAAACCCUAGAAGUCCUAAAAACCCUUUCUCCUCUCCAUUCCCGUCGCCUGCUUUCCCCUCACCCAAAAACCCAAUUUUGAAGAUCGGUUGGAGAUUAUCGCCCAAAAACCCUACUCUCGUUUGCCUUCCGAUUCGCUGAGCUCGUGCUCUUCUCUUAAUUUUUGAAGCAUGGUUGGAUCAACCAUUUCUGUUGAACGGGUCAAAUGCAACCUCUUCUGGUGAUCUAAUAGACUCUCCCUUUUUCAGAAUUAAACAUUAGAGUUCAAUUCUCAGCACCGUCUAUUAGAAUUUUGUCUGGGGUGCUACAUCUUGUCAUGUUGAUUCGCCAUCUUAGUCUCUGUCUCAAGUAUCUCUACUAGGGACUAUUUUGCAUUCGUUUCUGAAUUCUGCUUAGCUUAUUUUAGUUCUUGUUCAACAGCUCAUUUAUUUCAUUUCUUAAUUUUUUUAAUCUUGGAUCUGAUGUUGUUCUGCAUUUGAAUCAUCAUGCCUCUUUGAUUUUCUUUUUGUUAUAUUUUUAUUGUUUGGAGGAUUCAAUUGAAGGGAAAGUGUGAGGUUGGUACUUGUUCUUAAGUCAGCGUUGAUUUCUUUGGAGAUGGAGUGGGAAGUGGGAACUGUGCUGUUGAUGGAGCCGCUGUUUAUUAUUUUUAGAUUUCCUUUUUUUGCAGUGACUAAGGUAUGCCUAUGCAAUGAUUUCUUUCUUUUGCAUCUCUUAUGUGGUUACAACUACUGAAAUUGGUUUCUUGAGUUUUCACUCCUUUUUUUAUCCAUGCAUUUGUAACAGAGCUGCGAGUGUAGUUCUUUCUUUAAUUUCUUAUUUCUUUGAUCCUUUCUUCUUUGGGUUUCUUGAUGGUUGCUUAAAUCUCUCUCUCCCUCAAUGUUCUUAUUUUCCUUUCUACUUGUGCUCUCUCAAUGUUCUUAUUUUCCUUCCCUACUUGUGUGUUUUUAGACACCUUUCAUGGUUCUGUUUUAUUUUAUUUUAUUUUUUAUUUUAAUAACUUCAUUUCAGUAAAGAUUUCUUCGAAGAUAAACUUAUAAUGUAAAACUUUUUGCAUCUGAACGGACAUUCACCUUUUCUUUUUAUUGGAUGAAAGGGGAUUCAGUUUUCUAUACAUCUAUUCUGAGAAAACCCUUUUGCUAUAUGACUCUUUUUUGAUAAGCAUUAAAAUUUAAUAUACCUAGUUAUCCCAUUACUGCUGGAAUCAACCAUAUUCUUUAUAUAUAUAUAUAAAUCUUUUUCAAGCAGUGAUUAAUGAGUUUCUUUCCAGCUUAGAUGACUGCUCUAUUAAAGAGGAUGCUCUUUUCUUUUUCCUUGUUCUUUUUGAUGCUUUCUCUUCUAGUAGUCUUGUAAAAUUAUAAAAAGCAGUCCUGUUCAUAUCAAAAAGUUUGUAGCUUGUUGAUCAAACCUGUAACUGUUCGGAUGGAAAUGCAAUCGGAUAAUUGUAUUCCGUACCAUCUCCCAGCAAUUGUUUGAGAAAUUGAUUUAGAUUUCUUAUUCUCGGA